rnacentral:rRNA from 1 species
GGGUGCGAUCAUACCAGCGUUAAUGCACCGGAUCCCAUCAGAACUCUGCAGUUAAGCUCGCUUGGGCUAGAGUAGUACUGGGAUGGGUGACCUCUCGGGAAGUCCUAGUGUUGCACCCU